rnacentral:lncRNA from 1 species
AUGAUGAGUGUGAGCAGCAAGCUGAUGGUGAUGCUGAGUGUGAACAGCAAGGCGAUGGUGAUGCUGAGUGUGAGCAACAAGGUCAUGGUGAGUGUGAGCAGCAAGGUCAUGGUCAAGAUAUUGUACCUGUUGAAGAAGAAAGAUGUCAGGGUGAUGGGGUUGUUGAAGGUCAAAUUGAAACCUAGUGUGAAGGAAAUACUGUUACUGUCCAUAGUUGUAGCUCUAGUGGUGAGGAUGGGAA